rnacentral:tRNA from 1 species
GCCCGGGUAGCCGAACGGCAGGAGGCACCCCGUUCAGGUCGGGGACGUGUGCGUUCGAAUCGCGCUCCGGGUA